GACGAACGCUAGCGGCGUGCCUAAUACAUGCAAGUAGAACGCACAGUUUAUACCGUAGCUUGCUACACCAUAAACUGUGAGUUGCGAACGGGUGAGUAACGCGUAGGUAACCUGCCUGGUAGCGGGGGAUAACUAUUGGAAACGAUAGCUAAUACCGCAUAAUAUUAAUUAUUGCAUGAUAAUUGAUUGAAAGAUGCAAUUGCAUCACUACCAGAUGGACCUGCGUUGUAUUAGCUAGUAGGUGAGGUAACGGCUCACCUAGGCGACGAUACAUAGCCGACCUGAGAGGGUGAUCGGCCACACUGGGACUGAGACACGGCCCAGACUCCUACGGGAGGCAGCAGUAGGGAAUCUUCGGCAAUGGACGAAAGUCUGACCGAGCAACGCCGCGUGAGUGAAGAAGGUUUUCGGAUCGUAAAGCUCUGUUGUAAGAGAAGAACGGGUGUGAGAGUGGAAAGUUCACACUGUGACGGUAUCUUACCAGAAAGGGACGGCUAACUACGUG
rnacentral:rRNA from 1 species